UAACAAUUUAAAUUUCAGUAUGAUUUAAUUGAAUUUCAUUCACUCCUUGUUGGUUCCUAAUGUGGAGUACCGAUAAUCCAGUUAGUUGUUCUCUUCCUAUUUUUGGUACCAUGUUGGAACAUGGACAUUAGAAUUCGGAUAGUUAAAAGAGGCCUUUAGAUGCUAAAUAAAUUGUAUCUAAGAAUGAAAAUCAAGCAACAGAAGCAUUCCUAAAGACAGAAGUCCAUUGGGAACCAGUGAGCAAGCAUAUAUUAAUCAAAUUUAUUUAGUGGGUGGUUUUUUAUAUCUAAAAAAAACCCUAAACUAUUUCGUAUUCUUCCUUCAACAAUCGAGGCAAUUUUCUUCAGUUGGUAAGAAAAUCCAGAAAUUGAACAAUUAAAGUAAAAAGAAUUAGUCGAUGGGCUUAUAUUAACAGAAGUUCCAAGAGAAGACGGGUUAUUGUGAAAUAAAACUACUUAACCAAAACUUAAGAUCCGAAACUUCUUUCAAGAAAAUUUUGAAGAUAGACAACAUUAUUUUCCAGUUGAUCGGCACCUAACCUGAUCGUCAUUUACAGGGUUAAGUCUGGAAGUCUUGGAGGUGAAUAUCCGCAUACAUCGUCAGAUCUCAGUUUAUGUAUGAUGGCAUGAUAUUUAGAUGGUGAUCCGUCUUUCGAAACAUGGUUGAGGGUUUUCGUGGAACCUCAUCAAGUUUUAAUUCCAAUAUCUGCAAUGCAUAAAAGGCGAAAAAUUUGAAGGGAAAAAAACCCAGCUUGACAUUGAAAGUAGUUGUUAAAUAUUUAUAACUGUGUAAGUCAUAGCUUAGGGUUCCUACUUAUUUGAAGAUUCCAAAAAAAUCACAAGAUUGUGCAAGUAUCCUAUAUUUUAAAUGUACUGCAUAAAUUGACUUAAAAGAACUAUAUUUAUCAAACAGUUUAUCAUCAUCUCAAGUCCAAAUCCAACACAGAACAAUAUAUCAAGCAUGAAAUAGAAUUUGAAUAUGUUAGAAACAAUUAUUUUAUAUUUGUGAACCAAAAUUUAAAUGUAUCAAAGUCUAGUAUGAAUCAAGGACUCAUUUAGUGUUUAAUAAUCCUUCACUACUUGCCAUGUUUUAUGUUUAGUCUGCAUUCUAUUAAAUACCAUCUAAAAACAACCCUCGCGUGGCAAUGAUGGUAAUUUUGAAAAUGCAUCUUUCUGAUGGGGAAAAAAAAAUAUAU